AUGAUUCUUUUGUCUUUUCCUUUUCAGUGCUUUUACCUCUGGUUUGUUUUUCUUCAAAACUGUGCAUCAGUUUUGAACCCUCCCAAAAUGUUGAAUAAAAGUGGUAACAGAUGCAGUCAUUAUCUAGGGAGUGCUAAUGGGAGGACUGCUGUGUCACUGCUAAGUAUAACGCAGAUUUUACUUACUUAUUUGACAGAGAGAGACAGAGAAAGAGGGAACAUGAGCAGGGAGAGUGGGAAGGGGAGAAGCUGGCUUCCAGUGGAGCAGGGAGCCCGAUGUGGGGCUCGACCCCAGGACUCUGGGAUCAUGACCUGA
rnacentral:lncRNA from 1 species